rnacentral:rRNA from 1 species
AUUGAACGCUGGCGGCAUGCCUUACACAUGCAAGUCGAACGGCAGCACGGGUGCUUGCACCUGGUGGCGAGUGGCGAACGGGUGAGUAAUACAUCGGAACAUGUCCUGUAGUGGGGGAUAGCCCGGCGAAAGCCGGAUUAAUACCGCAUACGAUCUACGGAUGAAAGCGGGGGACCUUCGGGCCUCGCGCUAUAGGGUUGGCCGAUGGCUGAUUAGCUAGUUGGUGGGGUAAAGGCCUACCAAGGCGACUAUCAGUAGCUGGUGUGAGAGGAGGACCAGCCACACGGGAACUGGGACACGGCCCAGACUCCUGCGGGAGGCAGCAGUGGGGAAUGUUGGACAGUGGGCGAAAGCCUGGUCCAGCAAUGCCGCGUGUGUGAAGAAGGCCUUCGGGUUGUAAAGCACUUUUGUCCGGAAAGAAAUCCUUGGCCCUAAUACGGUCGGGGGAUGACGGUACCGGAAGAAUAAGCACCGGCUAACUACGUG